rnacentral:lncRNA from 1 species
UUAAACUUUCCAAAAAGCGAAAAAGAACUAACUCAUUCAAAUCAUUUUCAGGCCUUUGUGCCUUUCAAACUUAAAUUUUGUUAAAAUCAAUGCAUCCACUUUGAAAUUUGUAGCACGAACUAUGAGGUUUUGAUCCCUCAUUUUUAUGUUGGUACGUAGGCACAAGAACGAAGAUCUUGUCAAACACCAAAAUAUAAUUAAUGAAUUCUUU